rnacentral:rRNA from 1 species
GACGAACGCUGGCGGCGCGCCUAACACAUGCAAGUCGAACGGGGUGCGUUCGAAUGAAGUUUUCGGACGGAAUUUGGAUGUACCUAGUGGCGAACGGGUGAGUAACACGUGAAUAACCUGCCCUGGAGUGGGGGACAACAGUUGGAAACGACUGCUAAUACCGCAUAAGCCCACAGAGCCGCAUGGCUCAGGGGGAAAAGGAGCAAUUCGCUUCAGGAUGGAUUCGCGUCCAAUUAGCUGGAUGGUGAGGUAACGGCCCACCAUGGCAACGAUUGGUAGCCGGACUGAGAGGUUGAUCGGCCACAUUGGGACUGAGACACGGCCCAGACUCCUACGGGAGGCAGCAGUGGGGAAUAUUGCACAAUGGGGGAAACCCUGAUGCAGCGACGCCGCGUGGAGGAAGAAGGUCUUCGGAUUGUAAACUCCUGUCGUUGGGGACGAUAAUGACGGUACCCAACAAGAAAGCCACGGCUAACUACGUG